rnacentral:misc_RNA from 1 species
AACGCACAUUGCGCCCUUCGGUAUUCCGUUGGGCAUGCCUGUUCGAGCGUCAUUUAAACCUUCAAGCUUUGCUUGGUGUUGGGCGGCUGUUCUGCCUGUGGGCGCGAACUCGCCUCAAAUCUAUUGGCAGUUUGUGGGUUGGAUUCUGUGUGCAGCACAUUGCGCGACGACUCCAGCCUCCUUGCUCCCAUCAAGCCUUUCCAUUGUUUGACCUCGGAUCAGGUAGGGAUACCCGCUGAACUUAA